AGAGUUUGAUCCUGGCUCAGGAUGAACGCUGGCGGCGUGCCUAAUACAUGCAAGUCGAGCGAACGGACGAGAAGCUUGCUUCUCUGAUGUUAGCGGCGGACGGGUGAGUAACACGUGGAUAACCUACCUAUAAGACUGGGAUAACUUCGGGAAACCGGAGCUAAUACCGGAUAAUAUUUUGAACCGCAUGGUUCAAAAGUGAAAGACGGUCUUGCUGUCACUUAUAGAUGGAUCCGCGCUGCAUUAGCUAGUUGGUAAGGUAACGGCUUACCAAGGCAACGAUGCAUAGCCGACCUGAGAGGGUGAUCGGCCACACUGGAACUGAGACACGGUCCAGACUCCUACGGGAGGCAGCAGUAGGGAAUCUUCCGCAAUGGGCGAAAGCCUGACGGAGCAACGCCGCGUGAGUGAUGAAGGUCUUCGGAUCGUAAAACUCUGUUAUUAGGGAAGAACAUAUGUGUAAGUAACUGUGCACAUCUUGACGGUACCUAAUCAGAAAGCCACGGCUAACUACGUGCCAGCAGCCGCGGUAAUACGUAGGUGGCAAGCGUUAUCCGGAAUUAUUGGGCGUAAAGCGCGCGUAGGCGGUUUUUUAAGUCUGAUGUGAAAGCCCACGGCUCAACCGUGGAGGGUCAUUGGAAACUGGAAAACUUGAGUGCAGAAGAGGAAAGUGGAAUUCCAUGUGUAGCGGUGAAAUGCGCAGAGAUAUGGAGGAACACCAGUGGCGAAGGCGACUUUCUGGUCUGUAACUGACGCUGAUGUGCGAAAGCGUGGGGAUCAAACAGGAUUAGAUACCCUGGUAGUCCACGCCGUAAACGAUGAGUGCUAAGUGUUAGGGGGUUUCCGCCCCUUAGUGCUGCAGCUANAAAAAAGCUGAUUUCUAUUAAUUAUUUGAUAGAAAUCAGCUUUUUUGAUAUGUAUUUUAUAAUGUACAGCUCGUUGAGCUGCUAUUUUCCUUAUAUUAAGUGCCAUUAAUACAAAACCUAGCUCUCGUUUAACUUUAUUUAUUCCUCGAACUGACAUUCGAGUGAAACCCAAAAUAGCCUUCAUAAAUCCAAAAACAGGCUCUACAUCAAUUUUUCUUUGACUAUAGAUUUUUUUCGUUUCUGGUUCAGAAAGCUUUUGAUUAAUUUGGACUUUAAAGUAUUCCCAAUUAUAAUUCUUCAUGAUUUUCUUAUUGGAUUUUGAAUUUGGUUUCAUGCAUUGUUGCCUCAAAGAACAUGCUGAACAGUCAUCGCAUUCAUAUAGUUUGAAGUCUCGUUUAAAACCAUAUCUAUCAUUACGGUAUGCAUAUCUUUUAAAACCUAUUCUUUUGUUAUUAGGACAUAUAAAUUCAUCAUUAAGUUCGUCAUAUUUCCAAUUUUGAGUGUUGAAAAUGUCACUUUUAAACUUUCUAGUUUUAUCUUUAAUAAACAUGCCAUACGUAAUAAGUGGCGUUUUAUUAAAAUCAUCUAUAAUGGCCAUAUAGUUUUGCUCACUACCAUAACCUGCAUCAGCUACAAAUAACCGAAGGUAUUUUGAAUCAUUGUUAAAAAUGGAAUUAAAGUUCUAGUAUCUGUCGGGUUUUGAAAUAGGUCAUAGGAUAAAACAAAUUGAGAAUUUGUCGCUAUUUGUAAAUUGUAUCCUGGCUUAAGUUGGCCAUUUUUCAUAUGGUCUUCCUUCAUUCUCAUAAAAGUUGCAUCAUGAUCAGUUUUAGAAAAACUAUUUCUAUCUUUAAGAAUCGAUUUUUGUUCUUCAUAUUUAUUUUUUCUUUCGGAAUAAUCAUCAAAUUUCUUUUUGAACUUCUUAAUCUCAGUUCUUUUUUUACGGGUCUGUUUUCUAAUUUGAGCACAAUCUUCGUUCUCAAUAGAAUGAUUUAAAUCUUCGAUUUCUUUAUCUAAAUGACUACCAAUUAAAUCUAUUUCUUCUAUUGUUAAAUCGCUAUCUCCAUCUUCUUUUAUCUCUGGUAUUAUUUUUUCUUCAACUAAGUCACGAUAUAAUGNAUAGAAAUCAGCUUUUUUGAUAUGUAUUUUAUAAUGUACAGCUCGUUGAGCUGCUAUUUUCCUUAUAUUAAGUGCCAUUAAUACAAAACCUAGCUCUCGUUUAACUUUAUUUAUUCCUCGAACUGACAUUCGAGUGAAACCCAAAAUAGCCUUCAUAAAUCCAAAAACAGGCUCUACAUCAAUUUUUCUUUGACUAUAGAUUUUUUUCGUUUCUGGUUCAGAAAGCUUUUGAUUAAUUUGGACUUUAAAGUAUUCCCAAUUAUAAUUCUUCAUGAUUUUCUUAUUGGAUUUCGAAUUUGGUUUCAUGCAUUGAUGUCUCAAAGAACAUGAUGAACAGUCAUCACAUUCAUAUAGUUUGAAGUCUCGUUUAAAACCAUAUCUAUCAUUACGGUAUGCAUAUCUUUUAAAACCUAUUCUUUUGUUAUUAGGACAUAUAAAUUCAUUAUUAAGUUCGUCAUAUUUCCAAUUUUGAGUGUUGAAAAUGCCACUUUUAAACUUUCUAGUUUUAUCUUUAAUAAACAUGCCAUACGUAAUAAGUGGCGUUUUAUUAAAAUCAUCUAUAAUAGCCAUAUAGUUUUGCUCACUACCAUAACCUGCAUCAGCUACAAUAUACUCUGGUAAAUAACCGAAGGUAUUUUGAAUCAUUGUUAAAAAUGGGAUUAAUGUUCUAGUAUCUGUUGGGUUUUGAAAUAGGUCAUAGGAUAAAACAAAUUGAGAAUUUGUCGCUAUUUGUAAAUUGUAUCCUGGCUUAAGUUGGCCAUUUUUCAUAUGGUCUUCCUUCAUUCUCAUAAAAGUUGCAUCAUGAUCAGAUCAGUUUUAGAAAAACUAUUUCUAUCUUUAAGAAUCGAUUUUUGUUCUUCAUAUUUAUUUUUUCUUUCGGAAUAAUCAUCAAAUUUCUUUUUGAACUUCUUAAUCUCAGUUAUUUUUUUACGGGUCUGUUUUCUAAUUUGAGCACAAUCUUCGUUCUCAAUAGAAUGAUUUAAAUCUUCGAUUUCUUUAUCUAAAUGACUACCAAUUAAAUCUAUUUCUUCUAUUGUUAAAUCGCUAUCUCCAUCUUCUUUUAUCUCUGGUAUUAUUUUUUCUUCAACUAAGUCACGAUAUAAUGUUUUUGAAUUUUCGUUCAAUUUCGAUUCGUGAUUUUGAAUACUUUUCUUCCACACAAAUGUAUAUCUAUUGGCAUUAGCUUCUACUUUUGUACCAUCAAUAAAAAUUGAAUUAUUAUCAAUAAGAUUUUGCUUUAAACAUUGACUAUGGAACUGAAUAAAUAAAGAUUCAAUUAACGCAUCAGUAUUAGGAUUCACU
rnacentral:rRNA from 1 species